UACGUAGGGUGCGAGCGUUGUCCGGAAUUAUUGGGCGUAAAGAGCUUGUAGGCGGUCUGUCGCGUCUGCUGUGAAAAUCCGGGGCUCAACCUCGAGACGUCGGCGGAAACCAUCUGGCUAGAGUCCGGAAGAGGAGAGUGGAAUUCCUGGUGUAGCGGUGAAAUGCGCAGAUAUCAGGAAGAACACCCGUGGCGAAGGCGGCUCUCUGGGACGGUACUGACGCUGAGACGCGAAAGCGUGGGGAGCGAACAGG
rnacentral:rRNA from 1 species